GUGUCUCUCAGCUCCAUCUUGUUUCACAGACGCAAUACAGCAGUACUUGAGGAAAGUAGCCCGUGCUCAGCUUGUGCCCCAGCAGGCCGAGUGCCAGCAAGCCCCAGCGCCUGCUCAGCAGUGUUAUUCUGGACAGACUCCAGCCAAGGCUGGAAGAAUCAGCUCCUUCAGCCUCUCCUUGUAUGCCACAGGCUUGAGCACCUUAACUAUCUCACUGUGAUGCAUUUCUGUAAGAAAGCUACAUCCCAGCCAAGACCUUUUAUUUCACAUGCUACUGCUUGUCCCCUGGUAGAACUGGAAAGUGGUGGGACGAUGCAGCUGGAGAGACCUCAGGAGGCAGCGUGUCCCAUCUCCAGGCUCUGAAGAAGGACUGGCUGCACGCCACCAAGCUUGGUAUCUGCUUGCUGAGGCCUCCUGGCUGGCUCACAGACUCCACGAGCCAUUUAUCAAUCCUGAAAAGAUAUAGCUAAUAAUGCUCUUGAUUUGCUCAAGGUCUUCAAUAUCUUCAUUUCAAAGCUUGGUGAGCCCCUCUGUGAAGCAGAUAAUCAUAGAACUACAGAACCAACCAGGUUGGAAAAGACCUUUAAGCUCAUCAAGUCCAAAUGUUCCCCAGCACUGCCAAGGUCACCACUAACCCAUGGCACUGAGGGCCUCAUCUACACUGUUUGUGACCACUUCGAGGGAUGGUGACUCCAGCACUGCCCUGGGCAGCCUGUUCCAAUGCCUGAGCACUCUUUGGGGAAGGAAUUGUUCCAAAUAUCGAGUCUAAUGCUUACCUCUGUGCUAGGCAUCAACAGGGUAUUCUUGCCAACAUAAAGCACCUCUGCAAAAUGA